GGGGGGAGGCCGGAUCCUGGGCUGUGUCCUGGCGCCCUGUGCUCCGGGGCCUGCGCUGUUGGAUUCCGCUCUGGCUGUGCAGCCCCCU
rnacentral:pre_miRNA from 1 species